rfam:Salmo salar isolate Sally breed double haploid chromosome ssa02, whole genome shotgun sequence.
GAACAAAACAUUUGUAAGUCGCUCUGGAUAAGAGCGUCUGCUAAAUGACUUAAA